GGCGUCGGUCCACAAUUCUGCCUUCAGGGAUGUAAGCCCCCUUUUUUCGUGGGUGUUUUAACGAUUCUGUACGAGAAGACAAACCUGAAACACCAGCGCAAGACGAAACAAGCGUUAGAGAAGCUGCGGAAUCUAGCCGGCAUCUGUGUAAGCUCCUGAGCACAACCUGCCAUGGGCGGAACCCGACGUCGACGAUGACGUUCCGGCCGAUACGCACCGAUGCACACGGGCACACACGAGUGGUCACAUUGGCACGAUUGAUAUGACGAGUGAGGGCGUGAAUCACGUCAUGCAGCUUCUACCUUUCGGGUUACAACUUUUUCGAAAAUGCCAUAAAGUGAGUGAAAGAAUGUUGCCUGCUCGUGCGUGGAGGGCUUCCCGUGGCUCAUGAUGAAACAACGGGGGAAGGACAACAGAGCCAGGUUCCGUUUCCCAGCACACAAGAUCGACAUGUCGUGUCCUGCACGCAUCUGUCGGGCAAAAACAAUGCUGGUGUUUCGUGCGUCAUCGCCGGGCCAAGCAUCAAUACACAUGGUGGCCCACUGUAUGAGUGAAACCAACAAGCCCCGACAUCAUGCGGAAGCAUGGUAAACACGGAGGCAGCGUAGGCAAGCAAUGGACGCGGCACCACUCGACCAUGGCAGCGCCCACGCAGCCGC